UACAGAGGGUGCAAACGUUGUUCGGAAUUACUGGGCGUAAAGCGUGUGUAGGCGGCCUCGUAGGUCGGAUGUGAAAGCUCUCGGCUCAACCGGGAAAGUGCAUUCGAAACCACAAGGCUUGAGUGUCGGAGAGGAAGGCGGAAUUGUCGGUGUAGAGGUGAAAUUCGUAGAUAUCGACAGGAACACCUGCGGCGAAAGCGGCCUUCUGGACGAACACUGACGCUGAGACGAACGAAA
rnacentral:rRNA from 1 species